UAUAUAAACAACUGUGAAAAUCGAACUUUUAACAAAUCGUUUAAAACGUUUAAACUGUUGAUACUAUUAGCGCUAUGAAUUUUUUAAAGAAUUUCCUUUUCGUCGUGGUGAUUUUAGCCAUUUCCAUGACUACUAUUCAGGCUGAACCUGCUAAAGGUGACAAGGGCUCCAUCAAAAGGUCAAAUACAAUUUAAAUGGAUAAACAUAGAAAACCAACUUACAAUUUAUGGAAUGUUAUGAAUAUGGCGAUUUAAAACAUGUUUUGAAUUAUGUAUUUUUAAGCAAAAUAAAUUUUUAACAUUAUUGCAUAACAAA